UGACGGUACCUGACUAAGAAGCCCCGGCUAACUACGUGCCAGCAGCCGCGGUAAUACGUAGGGGGCAAGCGUUAUCCGGAUUUACUGGGUGUAAAGGGAGCGUAGACGGAGCAGCAAGUCUGAUGUGAAAACCCGGGGCUCAACCCCGGGACUGCAUUGGAAACUGUUGAUCUGGAGUGCCGGAGAGGUAAGCGGAAUUCCUAGUGUAGCGGUGAAAUGCGUAGAUAUUAGGAGGAACACCAGUGGCGAAGGCGGCUUACUGGACGGUAACUGACGUUGAGGCUCGAAAGCGUGGGGAGCAAACAGGAUUAGAUACCCUGGUAGUCCACGCCGUAAACGAUGACUACUAGGUGUCGGGUGGCAAAGCCAUUCGGUGCCGCAGCCAACGCAAUAAGUAGUCCACCUGGGGAGUACGUUCGCAAGAAUGAAACUCAAAGGAAUUGACGGA
rnacentral:rRNA from 1 species